CCUACGGGAGGCAGCAGUGGGGAAUAUUGGACAAUGGGGGCAACCCUGAUCCAGCCAUGCCGCGUGUGUGAAGAAGGCCCUCGGGUUGUAAAGCACUUUCAGUGAGGAAGAACGCCUAGUGGUUAAUACCCAUCAGGAAAGACAUCACUCACAGAAGAAGCACCGGCUAACUCCGUGCCAGCAGCCGCGGUAAUACGGAGGGUGCGAGCGUUAAUCGGAAUUACUGGGCGUAAAGCGCGCGUAGGUGGCUUGAUAAGCCGGUUGUGAAAGCCCCGGGCUCAACCUGGGAACGGCAUCCGGAACUGUCAAGCUAGAGUGCAGGAGAGGAAGGUAGAAUUCCCGGUGUAGCGGUGAAAUGCGUAGAGAUCGGGAGGAAUACCAGUGGCGAAGGCGGCCUUCUGGACUGACACUGACACUGAGGUGCGAAAGCGUGGGUAGCAAACAGGAUUAGAUACCCUGGUAGUC
rnacentral:rRNA from 1 species